GAAUGUAAGAGAAAUCUGACAGUGACAUCUGUCAACCAAUUGAUUGCCAUGGUUGAUUUGACUGGCUGGCUAGAAUUCUAGCUCCCUUGUUCCCUCACCAUUCCAUGUGCAUCCCUCCUGGGUGCUCGAUGGGAGGGGACAGACUUCCGUGGUUGUCCAUGGUGGGGGAAGACGUUCAUUGGUUAAGAAUAUGCAAGUGGCUAUGGUCUCCUGCUAGAACCUCCAAGCAAGUUCUCAGGGUUUAUAUAUUCUCUUCAUCUUGGGCUGAAUGAAAAAGGUUUGCUUAUAAUAAAACAUUAGUGUUGGGAAAUCAAAGGAGUAAGCUUUCUUGAGUA
rnacentral:sRNA from 1 species